CAGAGAAAGAAGACAGUAAGGCUCUGAAGAGUUUGGAUCUUGAGUGCAUCUUGAGUUUUAUGGCCAUUCAUUUAGAAGUGUGUGUUGUAAAGAAUGUAUUUUAUGCUGGAAUUCAGCACACAGAAGACCAUAGCUGUGAGCAGUCCAGCAGGCUGGAGCUGGCUCUGGUGAGAUUAAUGCAAAUAAAUGCAUUGGUUCUCCCUGGUCAAGCUUUUUACAGUUCAUCUGUUUGCACUGAAUACAAUGGCUAAAAAAAUAGACAGCUUUCCAGAUUCCUCUUCCUUCUUUCUUGUGAAAUGGAAGACACCAUCACAAGACAACCUCUAAUGGAGUCUCUGCUGAAUUCUGCCAUCAAGAGCACACUGAUUUCUGACUUCCAAGGCUCACUCUUGGGGACUUUCUUGCAUUAAAUAAUAUUUUGAGGAAAACUAGCUUUUGAAUGUCACAGUGUUGCUUAUUAGUGGUUGGUAGGUGUCAAUGUGCUAAUAGACACCUAGCCUUCAAAAAAAAUCAAUAAAUCUCAGCAGCAAAGAGAAAGUUUUGCUGUUUGCAUUAUUCUGGCUGCAGCACAGUGGAUCUGAGGAACCCAGGGGUGGGAGAGAGAAAUGGUGCUUUCAAUAAGGAUUACUGGUGGGAGAAAAGGGAGGGACAGGAAUAGUGUCUGCAAAGAAAAUAUAACAAGAAGAGAGCUUUUAGCUCAGCCAGGAUCACAGAGAACAUGGAGAGGAUGCAAAGGCAGACCACAGAACUGAUGAAAGCAAGAAUUCUUUCAGUUCUUCUAAGUGAACUGUAAAAGAUGUAUUGGAAUGAGAAAGCCAUUGAAAAGUCAUUUCAUUGACAACCCAAAGGAGAAGACCCCUCUUGA